UACGGGGGGGGCAAUCGUUGUUCGGAAUUAUUGGGCGUAAAGGGCUCGUAGGCGGUUUGUCGCGUCGGGAGUGAAAUCCUACGGCUUAACUGUGGGCUUGCUUUCGAUACGGGCAGACUAGAGUGCGGUAGGGGAGACUGGAAUUCCUGGUGUAGCGGUGAAAUGCGCAGAUAUCAGGAGGAACACCGGUGGCGAAGGCGGGUCUCUGGGCCGUAACUGACGCUGAGGAGCGAAAGCGUGGGGAGCGAACAGG
rnacentral:rRNA from 1 species